ACAUGGCUGGCUUGACAUGACACCUGGACGUUAUUUAUAGGACAUGUGAUGUGGGCAGCUGCUUGACUCAUCUAAUCUUCACAGCAGCCCUCUGAGAAUUUGGAGGCCCUAUCAAGAUGGCUAAACUCAUGAGAACCUACAAGAGUGAAGCAAUAACAGCCCUGAAUCAAGUAAUACCACACCAAGAAUGACACUGAAAACUUGGAGAGGAAGUUUGGAGCCAGAGUACUGGAUGUUCACAUGGUUUGGGCAAUUGCAUUCAAUGUUCCCACCUCUGCUGCUCCUGUAAGUGCCUGGAAAGGUCAUGUUGGAAGGAUGCCAUAGGACUGGAGAAAAGACCUCCGCUAAGGCUCCUUCUCCUGUCAGAAGACUUCCCUGAAAGCCAUCGGUAGAUUCAUUGGCCCACUGUGGUCCAGCAGUACCCUCACAGUCCGUGCCCUCUCUUUGGACUCAGCACAUC